GGCAACUUGGCCGAGCGGUCUAAGGCGGUAGACUCAAGAUUUGCAGUGAUGCAGACGUCCUGGCCCCUCUAAGGGGUUGUAUUCUACUCACGAAAGUGGCGUGAGUUCGAAUCUCACAGUUGUCA